rnacentral:RNase_P_RNA from 1 species
UGAGUUCGCCGGACGGUCGCCGCCUACCUAAGGGUCGGUGGAGGAAAGUCCGGACUCCACAGGGCAAGAGUGCUGGGUAACACCCAGGCGGGGCGACCCGACGGAAAGUGCCACAGAGAACAGACCGCCCAAGUUGUCCUCGGACAACCGGCAAGGGUGAAACGGUGGUGUAAGAGACCACCAGCCCGGAGGGAGACCUCCGGGGCUAGGUAAACCCCACUCGGAGCAAGGUCAAGCAGGAGCCGGGCUUCCCGUCCACUGGCUCCAGGUAGACCGCACGAGGCCGCCGGCAACGACGGCCCCAGAUAGAUGAUCGUCCCGGGCUUGCCCGGACAGAAUCCGGCUUACAGGCGGGCUCACACC